AAAAUAAGGUUGGAGACGCCGGCUGGCGCCCGGCCGGCCCUAAUCGAGCGGGUGACAAAGCCCCAUACGCUCGAGGACCGGACACGGUGCCGCCGCUGCCUUUCGGGCCCGUCCCCCGGGGGGGACGACGACCCAACACACAAGCCGGGCUUGAGGGCAGCAAUGACGCUCGGACAGGCAUGCCCCCCGGAAUGCCAGGGGGCGCAAUGUGCGU
rnacentral:rRNA from 1 species